UGGUCGCUGCGGGGCGGGUACGGAGGGCGGGGGUCCCAGAUCACCGUGGAGGGGACCCUAGGCUGGGGGAGUCUUCAGCGCUUCCCAGGUUGGAGGCGUACCCGGUGGCUCUGGGGGGUCCCCAGGCUGAGGUCCCUGCCCUAUCCCUGCAGAAACACUCUCUACCAGACUUCGGCCCUGCUAAGCCACAAACUGAAACUCCUCAAGCACCAGCAGUUCGUGGUGCAGGUGAUGGCCCUGGCCCUGUUCAGCCUGCGGUAAGAGGAGCUGUGCUGGUCAGAAAGAAGUGGCUGUAGGGGAGGAGAGGUUGCUUGGGAAUCAUUUAGUCUCCGUAUGCUGCAGGGGAGCUGCUGCCGGCAGCCAUUAGAGGUCACACAGACCAGAAGAAAAAGGGUGAGGGAGGGGGAGGUGAUGCUGCGGGUGAUUUUGGGUUUGUUUGAAGAGUAGGUACUGAAUCUCCAAAGGAGAGAAGAACCAUUGCUCAGAACCUGGGCUCACAGGGCCCAAAAAUCACUUGGACUUUUAUUGGUCUGUUUGUUCUUUUCUUUUGAUGUGUUACGGACUUCUUUCUAGGUGCAAGAUGCGUGGUGAAUACACCUCUAGGCAUAAGAAAUGGCCGUAGGGAGACUGCUUGGAACGAGACAUACUUGGGACCUCCCAUCUUCUGCCUUCGGUGGCGCCUGGCAGAGGUCACUUUCAAGUUCUCGACAACAUCUUGUAAGCAGAGAAAUUCCUGGAGGAAAAGGAGAAGAUGAUGCAGAAGGAGAGGGAAAAGGAGGAAACAAUCCCUGGCAAAACAUCCCCAGGGCGCUGUGGAGGGCAGCAGGGCCCUGCCCGCUCUCCUUCAAACCAGGGAGCACUGGAGGGCACAGUGGCUUUGCCUGGACCUGAGCUGAGCCUGGCCCCAGCCCCGGGGGUCUGUGGGGCAGCAGGACACUUGCAGACCCCAGCCCUGGGGGUCUGUGGGGCAGCAGGACACUUGCAGACCCCAGCCCUGGGGGUUUCUGAAGGCAGCAGGACACUUGCAGACCCCAAGCCCCGGGGGUCUGUGGGGCAGCAGGACACUUGCAGACCCCAGCCCCGGGGGUCUGUGGAGGCAGCAGGACACUUGCAGACCCCAGCCCCGGGGGUCUGUGGGGCAGCAGGACACUUGCAGACCCCAGCGCCGGGGGUCCUUACAGGUGGCCGCCGCCAGGCGGCGCUGCUCGCACAUGCGCAUGGCCAGGCUCGUGCUGCCGCCGCUUCCCGCCGCUCGCACGCGGGCUGGCAGCCGGCGCUCCGCGCCCUCCGGCGGGGCGGGGCUGGCGCGCGGGCGGGAGGGGGCGCGCAUGCGCAGAGCGGGGCCCUGUGCGCGGGCGGCGGCCGCACUGCGCUGAGCUGCGCGGGCCCGCGUAGUUUUUGCCAUAACCCCCUCUGGACGGCUCUCGUCCUCUCAGAUUCCCUCCCGAGGCCUUCCGUUUUUUCUAUGAGCCUUUUCCUCUCUGCCCCCCUCAGGACCUUCCUCCUUGCCUCACAGGGCCUGUCGAGUGCCUCCUUGGUGCCCCACAGCCAUCUUUUAACCCUUUAGAGCCCUCUUGUUCCCUCAGAGCCCCUCCCAAGUCUUCCAUUUUGUCCCUGGGUGCCCUGUGUUCCCUCGGCUGACCGCUCCGUCUCUUGCCCGGUGGUGGGCUCAGACCCCACCCUGAGCUCCGAGCUCCCCCAGCCAGGGCAGGUGAGGGCUUUGGUCCUGCCCACUGCUGCGUGGGAGGCCCUGGCUGGGCUCUGUGUGCGACCUGGGCUCUGGUGAGGCUGUGGGACACAUGAGGGUGCAGAUGAGGCGGCAGAGCCCUGCAGGCAGCCUCCCCCCAGCGCAGCCCUUUUCCUGGGUGCUCAAGAGGCCCUGCUGGUGUCCCAUGUUGCCCAGGGCUUGUACCGGGCUUUGGCAGGGCACAGGCAUGGCUCUGCUUCCCUCCAGUGAGCCCCAGGGCCUUUACUGGGCUGUGCUGGUACCUGCAAGGAGCCCUGCUUCAGAAUUCCCUGGGUCCUUGUGUUUAGCCAAAGCGAGGACAGGGCUCUCCUGCCCUCCAGAGAGCCCUGGGGCUUUCGUCAGGCUUUGCCAGGGCCCACAAGGAGCUGUGCUUCUCUCCGGAGUCCUCAGAGCUCUUGGCCAGGCAUUGCCAGGGCCCAGGCAGAGCUCUGCUGCCUCCAGGAUGCCUUAGGGCUUUAUCCAGGCUUUCCUGGGGCCCGGGCAGGGCCCUGCUGCCCUCCAGAGAGCACCGAGACUUCACUUGCCUUUGCAAAGGCGCAGGCUUGGCCCUGCUGUCACCUGCUGUUCCUUGAGACAUCCUGGGGUGCAUGAGGAGGAGCGAGGCCAGCAGGUUGAGGGGGGUGAUCCUGCCCCUCUGCUCUGCCCUGGUGAGGCUGCAUUGGGAGUGCUGUGUCCAGUGCUGGGCUGCCCAGUUCCAGAGGGACUGGGAACUACUGGCAGAGGCUGUGAAGAUGAUGAGGGUGCUGGAGCAUCUCCCUGAGGAGGAAAGGCUGAGGGAGCUGGGGCUGCUCAGCUGCAGAAGAGGAGGCUGAGAGGGGACCUUGUUAAUGCCUACAGAUGCCUUAAGGGCGAGUGCCAAGAGGCCGGGGCCAGGCUCUUCUUGGUGGUGCCCAGUGGCAGGACAAGGGGCAAUGGGCACAAAGUGCAGCACAAGAAGUUCCACCUGAAUAUGAGGAAGAACCUCUUUACCCUGAGGGUGAUGGAGCACCGUGACAGGCUGCCGGGAGAGGCUGUGGCGUCUCCUUCUCUGGGGACAUUCACAACCCGCCUGGACGCGGCUCUGUGCAGCCUGCGCUGGGGGACCCUGCUGGAGCAGGGGUUGGGCUGGGUGGGCUCCGCUGGUCCCUUCCCACCCCGACUGUGCUGUGAUGCAUUGGGCUUUGCCAGGCUUCUCACAGGGUCCUGCUGCCCUCCAGAGAGCACCGGGGCCGUUGCCAGGCUUGCCAGGACCCUGCUGCCCUCCAGAUUUCCUCGGCACCUUCACCACCCUUCGGAGGGGCCCGGGCAGUGUCCCUCUGCCCCUCGGAGAGCCCCAGCCUUCCCCGGGCUUUGCCUGGGCCCGGGCAGUGCUACCUGCCCUUCAAGGGCGUUUUGGGAAAGGGCUCGUUCAGCUCAUGCAGUGAAGUUCCGUCUUGCUCCAGCUGAUGGCACGAUUGGGAGCACGUAGAGCAGAGAUUUUUCCCAGGAAAAUAGACCAAGUCCCAGUUCUCCCGCUCUAGUAUUUGAUAUUGUACAGUGUGGGUCUCAGCCUCACACCACGCCAGUAUUCCCACCAAUAAUGAGUUCAGAGAAGAGCCUGUUUCUUAUAAAAUGAGAAAAUAAAUAUAAGCCAGGCCAAGUCACUAGGUCAGAGAUGAGACGAGAGUUAUCUGCAGGACAAGCAACCAGCAGUUUGUGGCUGUAAAGGACGUCCAGCCAUAGGAGUGGGCUCCCACCAGCAGGAGUUAAUGGUAUGUCAGUCCACAGGAGAGUUUCCUUCCAUAGGACAUGUGUGUUUGAGGCAAUAAUCCCUCCAGGGUUUCAGCUCCUUCUGUGUCUGACUUACAGCUGUGUAACCUUCCAAACACAGCAAAGGCAUUUUUCUCUGGGAAAAUGUCAGCUCCCUUUGGCCUCACGCUGACAAUUGGCCAUUGUGUGUCCAUUCGGUGAUCUAAAACACGCUAAAAGAGACUCCAAACUGACGGGGCUGAACUCCUGGGUUUUCCUGGUGCAAUUGUGUAAGCCAGCCAGCCUUUGAGCUAAUAUUGUGGUAUAUGGAGUCAGAUUGGGUCUCUGACAUGGGAAAUCUGUGCAGUUGAGAGCAACUAGCAGGUCAGUAAUGCGUGUAGGUUAGGAAUGCAUGUUUACAAGGUCUGGCAAUGAAAAAAAUUGGUUAUAUGUAUGGGGACAAAAGUCCACCUGAUUUUCUUUGCAUUUUGUAGGUUCUGCUGUUUGAGCAAGAAAAAAAUUAUUUACAUUACUUAUUUGAGGGAGGCAGAGUUGCUUUCUAUUUAAAAGCCCCGACCAAUUAUUUUUCUUCCUGGCUCCAUCACCUGCAUCAGUGUAUGACCUUAGGAAGGACAUCAGCUUUGCUGCAAAAUUUCUGUAUAUUUAGGGUGGCAGUAAUAACUGAUACCUCAUAGGAUGCUGGAGUGGAACUAGUUAAUAUUCAGAAAUAUCUUUAAGCUUUUUGUUGAUUGAGAUCUUAAAGCCAUUGCUUGCAAUGCAAUGCAAGGUUUGCAUUCUAAAAUCAGUUUAAAGCCGCAUAAAUUCCACAUUCUUUCUAAAAUAUGAUGGGAAAUCAAUGAGGGCUUUUGCAGGAUGGUUCCUGUCGUCUGAACAUCAUGUGUAGUUUUUGUUUGUUUUCUCUUCAUACCUUCUUAAUAAGAAAUCUUUGAAUUUGGAUUCUGAUUAAAAAAUGUCCUUGGCAGGGCAGUUUUUAUUGUUGCCUGGCAGCUCUCAAAACUUUCACAGAUGUUUCUCCAUCAUUUACAUUCAGAUUCUAUUUCUGCAGUUUUCUCUGUAACUGAAAUACACCACUUGAUUAAUCUCCUUAUGGAAGCUGAGUCUUUGGACUACAAGACAGCGACCUGAGGCAAUCGGAGUGUGCUCGGUUAUGGUAUCUCCGUAGCUGGAAUGGUAGCUCCUGGGACAUGAGAACAUAUGCAACUACAAGACCAGCCCUCUUAGUCAAUGAAACCAUGGACCAAAGUUUCAUGAGGUCCUUCUCCAGCAGGUAUAGGUGAUCUCUGAGCAUGUUGUGGAAGGGAUCUGCAUGAAGGGAAUCACUAGGGUCACAGUGACAGUGCACGUGCUUUUUCACUCCUGUGUCAUGAUGUGAUUUAGCUGGCAUUUUGUGUGCCAGCAGCACAGCUGGUGGCAGGCAGGGAGUGUGUGGCUAAAAUGAUUUGGUAAGAAAGGAGCCUGCGUACCCUGACUUUCCUGGGUGGAGAGCUUGGCAGUCCUCAGAUAGAUCCUUUCCAGCUUGGGUUUUUCUUUCUCUUUGGCCUCAGGAGAAGGGGCCUGCUGGGGAGCUGCCCUUUACAAACCUUGUCUCUAUCUUCUUGCACCUUCACAAGGCUCCUGUGUUUAGUCUGGGGCUUUCUGUAACUUAGCAGCAUUAGGUGACUUAACAAUUACAGUAACCUGCAAGAAUGCCUGACUGAAAACCCCUCUGUGCCAGGCAGAGGGGCUCCACUGGGGAGGCGAGUAGGUUCAUGAUGUUGUACCCUCCCUCUUCUCCUUUUACAGCACUUCUAAGUCUAAUAAAAG